rnacentral:tRNA from 1 species
AGAAAAGUAAGCUAAAUUCAAGCUAAUGGGUUCAUACCCCACUUAUAGAGAAAUCUCUCUUUUCUA